rnacentral:lncRNA from 1 species
AAAAGAGGGUCCUUACGCACGCUUCAUCUUGUAUAUCUCUGCUGCGGUUCAUUCGCUCCAAUUACCUACAGUUUGAAUUGAACCUUCCUACUUCAAAUAAACGUGUUACAAAUGCGUACGAUAUAUUUUUCAGAGAAAAGGACUUCAAAUUGAAACUCACAGGAAUACGGAGAAGCUCAUUUUGAGACUAAUAGUUAAAAAAAAUCCGAUUGUUAUCGGAAAUUGACGGGAAAGUAAACGUAAUUCCACUAUUAAUGGCGCCUCCUCAAGAUGGCAAAGCAGCUGAAGUCAAAGAGGAAUCUGUACCUCAACGCCCAAUCUCCGAUGUCGUUUUCAUUAUUGGUACUCCAUUUUUCUAUAUAUAUUUUGAGAUUUUUUUGUGUUUGUUAGUAUGUAUUUAUAUGCUAACUUCUUUGUGUGUGUGUGUGAAUGGUGAAUAGCUAUGAAGAAGGAGGCUUCACCUCUAGUGGAGAAGUUCCAGCUCACCGAAGAAUCCAAUUCUCUGUGGGCCUUCUUUUUUUAUUUAAGCUUUAUAAGUAAUUUAGUUCAGUUGAGAUCCGACCAAAAAAAAAAAAAAACUGAGAAAAAUGAGGAUUGGGAAAAAGUAAAGGAGACUGACUGUCUCGUACAAUUUGUACUGGUGAUCUUUGGAAAGUUUAAGCCUACUGUAGUGAUAAGUGGAAUUUAAUAACGACUCGUUUAUUUAUGCUCAGUCAUUGUUGGAUUUAAAAUAAAUUAAUUGGAAAAGAAUGUGUUUUGUUAUAUUGUUGCCAUUCUACAAGUGGCCGUUACCCUUUUAUGAUUUGUUUUAUCUAUUAUCAUUUUGUGAAAAUGAUGCAGGUUUCCAAAGGGGGUCCCGUGGGUGAGGUACAGUGGAAAAUAUAAAGAUCUGAAUAUCAACAUUGUUUCCCCUGGAAAAGACAUAGUUUUGGGUCUCUCUCUCUCUUUCCUCCUUAAUUCUUGAUGGCAUGUUAUGGAUUUUGAUUUUGUUACGUGAAUUGUUUUCAGUCUCUGGUAUAUGUGUUCACUAUUAAGCCUAAUCUGCUUAUUUCUAGAUAUUUUGUCAUUUUGGCCCUAUUGUGAUGAUAAGAUUCUUUGAAAAGAUUUGAACAUAUUUUCUCCGAAACUAAAUAAAAUUAAGUACCAUGUAGUUAAGAGCGAUCAAUAAACCUUAUCCUUGGGCCAUUCAAUAUUUUUUCAUCCAGGGGUGGCGGUGGGUAGGGGGAUUGGUAUCGGAGGAAUCACUAUGAAAGUGGUUGAUCAUUCUUGAGUAUAUGUUAUUUUUAGUAGAGGAAGAAGGUAUGCAGUCACAUUAAGUUCUGUAACUGGAUUAUGAAUAUUGUGAUGCAUUAUGCAGUUUAAGGAGCUUUGUUGUUAUUUGUUGCCAUUGUUGGUUAGUCACCACAGUGAAUUUCCGACCGCUGUGUUCUUAAUUGUUUCUUUAUCAGGUGUUGACAGCGUAGGCACAGUUUCUGCAUCACUUAUAACUUAUGCUUCUAUUCAAGCAUUGCAACCAGACCUUAUCAUAAAUGCAGGCACUGCUGGAGGUUUCAAGGUAUUAUGAAUGCGGAUAUGAUGGCUUUCAUUUUUUUAUUUUUAUUUUUUAGAUGUGUUGAUCUUCUGAACCUUAUCAUAAUUGUUUAUAUUUCCAUCCUCCUUUUUCCAUGUGGCAUUUAUCGAUUCUGCUGCUGAUAGUUUUUUUCAUAUAUGUAAAAUUUGCCCUGGUUCCUUCCUUUCUUAUUCUUUUAACCAAUUUCUUUAGAUAUUUUCUUUUUCUUUUUCUUUUUCUUUUUCUAUUUUUACUUGUACUUUCUAUUUCCCUCUGUUGUUUGUUGUCUGACUGAUUCUGUAUUUAUAUGGACACCAAAAUGUUAAAACUUCUUUCCUAAAAAGUCAAUGUCACGUUUUCAGUAAAGAAUUUGAUUUAUUUCUUUGUGUUAUGACAUUUUACGCACAUUUUAGGUUCUGGCUUCCUUCGACUUGUACUAGAUGGAAUCUAUUACCUUGCUGAUAUAGAAGUUACAGUCAUAUCUUAAAUAUAGGAUAACAAAGUCACACUUACUACAGAGAGUGUUUAAUCACUCUUUUGUUGCAUAUCUUAUAUUGAUAUCUAGAUUUUACCAGGCAAAAGGUGCUUGCAUAGGUGAUGUAUACCUUGCAUCAGAUGUUGCUUUCCAUGACCGAAGAAUUCCUAUCCCUGUAAGUUUUUCCGUCUUUAUUUUUCCUCAUUUAUUUUUUCCUGGUGCAUGGCUGGGGCAGAUACAAUUAGACAUCAUCAAAUGAAAGCAACACCAAAUUUAUUGGGAACAGAAAACAAGGCUCAAUUUUUUGUUACAUAUACACAUCGUAGGGGAAAAAUAUACUUUAUUGUGUUCUCAAUUUGUUGUUUAUAGGAGCCCAGUAGUAAUGAAAACUGAAGAAGGGUUCCAUUCUUUUAAGGUUGUGGCAUGCACUAAUUUGCUGGUAGAGAAUUGAUUUCUAGAUCACUUUACUAGGUUGGCUUAUGAAGUGAUAUACAUAUUAGACUACUUGAAUUCUAAUAUUUGGUAAAGUUUCUUCUGUUACUGUGAGAAAGUUGUUUUAUGUUUUGUCAGGCUGUCUUUCAAUUUAACUUCUAUGUUACUUUUUUUUUGUCCAUGUUUUAUUGGAAACAAUUGAAGCUUCCAAAUAUAAUAUAUUGUUUAUAUUAAGAAAAUAUAUGUAGAAAUUUAGUGGCAAUUACGCCAUGAGUCUAUUGCAUUACUAAUGGUAAGAAUUCGAACAUCUCAAAUUUGGGAAGUCACGGCGAUAGAGCAAGUCAUUGAAUGUCCUAGCUAAUCCUUUACAUUGGAUACCUCGUAGUAUUGCUGGUGUCCAAAAGACCUUUGCUAGAAUGGAUCAGUUUGCUGGAGUUUAUCCAGUUGUUUUAUGCUCGUUAUGUACUAGUACUUGUGCAUCUUGAUCUGUUCUUCGCAGUUUAACUUCAUUGUUAUCCAGUUACCUCCACUUUACCGGUUAGGGUUGGGCAAAACUUUCGAACCGAACUGUACCCGAACCGAGCGGUUCUUAUUAAAUUAAAUACCCAAACGGGUAACCGAAUCGAGAAUUGAGGGGUUCAAUUUGGUUCUCGAUUCUAGAUCAAUAAUUGAAUAACCGAAUAAGAACCGAAUUUUCCUAAUUUUUUAAAUUUAUUUAUUUUAAAUAAGCCAAAUUAUUUUAUUUUUUCUAAAUAAAUUUGCUAACUAGUUUUUUUAGCUCAACCCAAAAAUAUGAUUUUCCUAUCUCUAAUUUUCAGUCCAAGUCCAACUUACAAGUCCAACUUAAAUUAAAUUGACCCAAUUUUUAUCCAAAUAUGUUAUUUUACUAUAAUGUCGUUUCUACCAUUCUGGAGAUAUUGAAUUGAAACUCGAUAACGUCUCUCUUAAUUAUUAUGAGCUUGCUAUCUUCCUCUUCUUGUGAUUUUAACAAUCAAAAUUAUGAAGAGCUCAACAAAGAUAAACAUAAAAGAUAUACAAGAUUGGACUACGUUAUUUUGUAAGAGCUAAGAUUGAACAUGCUUUGUAAAUAUUAAAAAAAUUAAUUAUAGUACAGAACUUGAAAAUCGAACUGAACUGAAUGGAACCAAAUCCGAACGGUUCCAUAAUUAAAUUUGGACUCGACGGUUCUACUUACUAAAUACCCGAAAAUUUCGGGACCUAUUCGGUUCUCGUUAGAACAGAACCGAAUCGGACGAUGCCCAACCCUAUUAUCGGUUAUAUACAGGUCAUUUACUAUCUAUUUGAAGCAGUAGUCGUCUGCACCCAAAAAUGUUUAUCUAUGUCUACAACCAUAUAUCGAGUUCAUUUACUUUAAGAUUAAUGUGAAUCGUGCUAUUGUUUUGGAUAACAUCUUAACCUUAACGUGACUUCUUUCAAUCUGCAGGUAUUUGACCUGUAUGGUGUAGGCACACGACAAGCGUGCUCAACCCCCAAUCUUGCGAAGGAGCUAAAUUUAAAGGUCGCUACUGUGACGCCCCGAACUUAAGCUUCGAGGGUCACGUACUAAACAUAAUAACUUCAAUCUUUGGUACAUGUAAAUACUCUUAAAUAGAAGUAUUACAUGUUGGAAACUUAUUUUCAAUUUGGUAAAAUAAUUCUUAUAAAAUUCAAUAGCCAGUAGAAGUGCCUGUCGACAAGAAAUUAUAUUUUACAUAUACGGACUCGACACUACCAAGGUUAGUUGGGGCAGCAAGUUUGACAAUUUUUAUAAAAUUCAU